CCGCCCCGUUCCCGGCUGGCUGGGGAAGGGGCGUCCGGAGCCGCAGUGGCCCAGGAACAACUACAGCCCGUCGGGGACGAGAGAGAUGGGGGCGGGCGUUAGAAACGCGUUCUCCGCUGCGUGAGGCUGUGGCCUAGACCUCGGCGCGUUUCAUCUCCGGCGUACUCCUCGGGGAGAGCCGGGAGGUCCUCCUCACUCUGUGACCUACGCUGUGGCAGUUGGGAAAGGACCUGAGAAAGUGACAAAAGGCGAUGCUCCGGUCACAGCAGGGGCCCAGAAGGGCGCCCACAAGGGAUCUGAGCACGCCUGGCCCCUGGCUUCCCGAGGAGGGUUGCGCCUUAAGUGGGGUGCGCGAGGACCGGGCGGGCUCCGGGGCAACAAGGCCCCACAGUCCCAGGGGUGCUCGCGGUGACCUGGUGGGGCUACUGGUGGGUCGGCCCCGCAGCCGUGAGCCAAGGAAACAGGGCCGGUGGCACUGACGCUCCUGUGAGAACCUAACUGCCACCUGAGGCGUCCAUGCGGGCCUGGCCAGGAGCGCCUCGAGGAGCCCAGGCAGAUCCUCUCAUUGAAACGCAGGUCGAGCUGCUCUUACCUGCUCAGGAAGGACUUCACUAACCCUAGCCAGAAAACCUAGACCCAGAAUGACAGCAGAAUUCGGGCGUCAGGACCCAGUGGUCAGUUCUGACCCAAGGUUACACAGCUGCCCCUGACUGAUGGAGAGAGGAACAGAAAGAGCUGCUGCUGGCCCACAAAUCAGGAAGUCAACUCAUUCUGAGCCCCAAACCUAGGACUUCUGGAUGAGGAAACUGAAGCUUGUGCCAAACGAGGAAAGGAAUUCGGGUCAGGUCACACAGCUAGUAGAUCUCAGGGCUGGGCUUUGAAUGCACCCUGGCCUACACAGGAAGUUCAAGGCCAACGUGAGCUACUUACAGACCUUCAAAAAAACUAGAAAAUGUAAAAAUAAAG
rnacentral:lncRNA from 1 species